CUUCGAGUAUUCUCCCGCUCUCAUUUUCGCCGCCUAUUCAUUUCACCCAAUCCAACAAAUCGCCUUCUACUUUCACGCGCUCGACUUUUCCUUCCACCCCCUCCCCGUGUAAACCAUGGCCACCACGUACGAGGAGUUUUCGGCGAAGCUGGACCGCCUGGAUGAGGAGUUCAACAGGAAGAUGCAGGAGCAGAACGCCAAGUUCUUUGCGGACAAGCCGGAUGAGUCGACGCUGUCGCCCGAGAUGAAGGAGCACUACGAGAAGUUCGAGCGCAUGAUCAAGGAACACACAGAGAAGUUCAACAAGAAGAUGCACGAGCACUCGGAGCACUUCAAGCAGAAGUUCGCCGAGCUGCUCGAGCAGCAGAAGGCUGCGCAGUACCCGUCCAAGUAAGUCGGACAGCCAAGCUGCUUGAUUUCAUAGAAACAGGAAGAUGGCCAAGGAGGAGAAGAGUGCAGACAUACUUGGGUAGCGUGCAGUUAGACGUGCGGAGAGGGCGAGACUGAGGAAUUGGAAAGGAAGGCAGACACGUAGGAGGAGAUGCGCUGUCGGGGUAGGUGGGUAGAUGAUAGGAGCUCGGAUUGCGCCGCUUGUAUGCCGUGAAUGGCCGGCAUGAUAGCAUCCUGGAGAUCAUCCGUUCGUAACUCACCUUCCCCGCCCUCGUCAUCUAUCACCUCAUUUUAUUCGUUUUGCGUGCCUCGUCGUGUUCCGGGAUUUUUCCCCUAACCUCUUCUUUCCGUCAUGCCUCUUUCUGCUUCGCUUACCCCGUAUCCACCAUACCCACCUUGCUCUCCGCCCCUCCUUCCCUCCUUGCGACUUCUUUCCUCCCCUUCACCCGCCUUCAUUUUAUUUUUAUUCUGUUUUCCUUUCGUUUCUUCCUUCUGCCUUUUUUUUCUUGUACGCCUUUCGUCUUUCGCAUUGAUCUCUUCUCUCUUCUCUCCUCCUCCUUUUUUGGUAUGUUCGUUACACCGCUUGCGUGUAUGUAAUCUUCGUUUUUUUUUCUUGAUUUUCUUUUGUUUCUUCGUCUCUAUGUUCUGGAGGUCUAAGAACGAAAGGAAAAAGAAGAUACACCCACCUCCACACACACAGCCUACAGGCCCCUAAGGCGCGUUUUCCCUUCCGUAGAAACGAGCGACGAUAGAGAGAGAAAGGUGAGGGGGAGAGGACUACUCAAAUACCCACUCUGUUGUUUCAUGGACGCUUCUCUCUUCACGUCUCGUUCUCUCGCGCACCGGGAGUGGUCGACAGGGUCUAGGUUGCAUGCAGGCACGCAACAGAUUGUUCUCUCCCCUCCCCUCCCUUCCCCUCCCCUCCUCCUUCCUUUCCUCCUUCCCCUCUCUGCACUCGGCCCUCGAAGAUCUCAAGAGCUAGAGACAGGGAAACGCGUUGUAGGGGGAAGGGGAGACUUCACUGGCAAAGGGUUCCUUCUACUGUGUGGUGCAUCCAUCCGGGGUGGCCACUGUGCAAUGCCCCGCUUCCGCAUUACCGCCCGUGGUGCUUUUCUUGUUUC
rnacentral:misc_RNA from 1 species